UUUCAAGUGGAGUAUACUGAAUAUUGAAGUAGACUUCAGGUUGCUUUUUGGUUUUGUUUGGUUUUCAGUUUUUGUUUUUGUUUGGAAUCAUUUCUGUAUUCAUUUUUUUAAUUCUUUCAUAACCCUAUUGGGUGCUUUUUUUUUUAUACUAAAUUAACAUGGCUCGAAUGAACUGCCCUGCUCCUGUGGAAGUCACAUACAAGAACAUGAGAUUUCUUAUUACACACAAUCCAACCAAUGCGACCUUAAACAAAUUUAUAGAGGAACUUAAGAAGUAUGGAGUUACCACAAUAGUAAGAGUAUGUAAAGCAACUCACGACACUACUCUUGUGGAGAAAGAAAGCAUUCAUGUUCUUGAGUGGCAUUUUGAUGAUGGUGCACCACCAUCCAACCAGAUUGUUGAUGACUGGUUAAGUCUUGUGAAGAUUAAGUUUCCUGAAGAACCUGGUUGCCGCAUUGCUGUCCGUUGUGUCGCAGGCCUUGGCAGAGCUCCGGGGCUUGUUGCCCUAGCAUUAAUUGAAGGUGGAAUGAACUAUGAAGAUGCAGUACAAUUCAUAAGACAAAAGCGGCGUGGAGCUUUUAACGGCCAGCAACGUUUGCCUCUGGAGAAGUACCAUCCUAAAAUGUGGCUCCGCUUCAAGGAUUCCAACAGUCAUAGAAACAACUGUUGUAUUCAAUAAAACUAGGGUGCCUAAUGCCAUUGCCUUGGAAGAGGAACUUCAGAUGGGACCUGAUUUGUUACGUACCCAAUGUGUCCACUUACCUGUGGAAGCUCCACGGGAAUAUUGAAAAAGUUUUACCAGGCCACAUGCUUGACAGAAUUGCAACCUCUAUAUUUGGGCUAUGAUCAACAUGUUUGGACACUUAGCAAAAGAUUUUUGCUGGUCAGCAUUUAAAAUGUGCUGAUUAUUUAUACCAAUUGACCUUUCCUAAAAUAAGGUAUUGAGUAAUGUCAUUAAAUGUACUCCUGUGCCAGAAUAUUAUUAGUCUAUAAGGAAUUUAGAAGGAUUAGGUGCCAAAAUACCCAGCACAAUAUUUGUAUAUUUUUAGCGUCAUAACAGAACUAAAACUCCAAGAACUAAGAACUCUCCAGACCUUCCGUAGUGUAUUCUAAGAACUCUCUAGACCUUCCAUGGUUUAUUCCUUCAGUCAUUUCAAACACCGCAGGGCUUCUCUUGUUAUCUGCCUGCUCACCCUAUGUUUACAUCUCCCACACGUACACCAGAAUACAUCAGGUUUGCUUAGCCAUCAUUUUUUUUAACUAAGUCUUGCAAUGAUUAUUUAAUGUCUCUGUCUUAUUUUGUGCUGUUUUGGGAAACCUCCAUUUGAAAAUCAACUUUGUUACAGAAGCACAUAUCUUCAAUAAUGUCUCCAGACAAAAAGCCUUAUAGUAAAUUUAAUGUUUGCACUCGGGGUGCAACCUGACAGGGAGGGCCUGAACAAGAAAUAGGCCAUCAGAUUUUUAUUGACAGGUGACACUUCCAUAUAAUACCUAAGAGAUUACCCCUAGAAUUCUCUGAAACACUGGGGUUUUAGGAGUGUACAAGUCUGGGUUACCCACCAGGUUGAGUAAAGCCUUUGUGACCAAAGCAAGGCACAGGAUAAUUAAUAAUUUGACACCUCCAGGAUAAGAUAUAGAGUUCUCACUGGGUUGGGGUGAUAUGCAGUCUGAUUUGCCUCAGCUAGGGCAGAGAUGGUAAGAGUGUGAAAACAAGCAGAGACACUGGAAAAUCACCAUGCUGGGCAAUAUGUUACAGACUCUCUGGUCCCAACUAUUGCCUAGUUGUGUGAGAAUGGUGUAGGAAGGCAGAGUCUUGGUUGCAUGUAUUAGUCUGUGCUACUGUAUAAGCUGUUUGUCCACAGCUGGGACUGGGAGAGUGGUGCUGGUGGGGGCCUUUUUCACUCAUAAGGCUGCGCUAAGAUAGAUCUAAUUGACUGAAUCGAGGCCUAGGAGUCUGAAGAUGUUGGAGAGGAGUCUUCAUCACUCACUAGGCUGGUCUUUUUGUUGCUCAGGCUAUGUUAACCAAGCUAGGACUGUGAACCUGGGGAUGGUGAAGGCAGUUGAGGAUGUUGGCACUCACCACACUGACUUGGUUGUCAUGUGACCCAGGCUUGGCCUUUGAGUGUGGGGAAUAUGGGAUAUUCAUUAGGUUAUGCUGAGGGCCAAUCUAUUUAAGCAGAACUUCACCUUAGAGUAUGAGGAUGUUGCAGGAGGAGAGAGUCUUGAUCACUUACUAGGUUAUGCUGGUAACCAGGUUGACUGACACCACAAUGUCCUAAAAUUAUUAAGAUAGCUAGCGAGGGCCCUAUACUGAUCAUUUACUAGGAUAAACUGGUAAGCCUGCAGCCUGACCUCAUCAAGGCCUGGAAUGUGGUGGAUAUCCUAAGGGUCCAAGUGUCCUGAUCACUCACCAGACUUGAAUAAAGUGCAGGCUAUCCAACCCGAGCUAGGUCUCAGAGUAUUAGUGUUACACCAGCAGGAUAGACUUUCUAGCUCUAACUAUACUCAGUCGUAUUGACUCCGGCUAAGCAGAGAGAGCGAGGAUAGUUCUGAGCUCAGAGGUUCUUAGAAACUUACAGUAGGGAUUAAGUAAAGUCCUGAGUGAGCAUGUAUUGCUGACAUGGAGAGGCACAUGUGCAUGUCAUGGACCCCAAUGCCUCAGCACCAUGGAAGUGGUAAAGCUUUCUAUACUUGAGAUUCAGAGGGAUGGGGAGGCAUGGGGAGUUUGAAGCUAGAGGAUAUAAGAUUUGGGGAACUUACUGGGACUGGGGAGUAACCCUUGAGUGAAAUGGUUGGGAUCAUUCACUAGUCUGAGGUGUGGUAUAAACCGUGCAACCUCAUCUAGGCUGGAAGUAUUAGCAGAACAUCAGCAGGAUAGGAUAUUGAACUCUUACCAGACAGAGCUGGGGCAUGGUCUCUUGAUUCCUCACCAGAAUGAGCUGCUUCUCAGGCUGCUUCACCCAAGCUAGGCCUGGGACUGUGGAAAUAACCUUGAAACACAGGGCUUGGGUCACUCACCAGGCUGAGUUUGCUGGGUAAACUGAGAUACAAGCUAUGCCUGGGAGACUUAGGAUGAUAGUUGACAGAAUAGAAGUUUUAGUACCCACCAAGCUGAGAUGAUGCACUAUCCAAUUGCCCUAAGAUAGCCCAGGGUACAUGAGCAUAGUUCUGGUGAUGUUCUUGGGAACUCACUAUGUUGGGGUGGUGCACAGACUUUGCAACACCAACUAGACCUGAACAUGUGGGGAUGAUGUAAUAAGGCUUGUUAAGGCUCUCUGGCCAGGCUAGGCUGCUAGGCAACCUUUGUGAUCCAAGCAGGCUUGGAGUUGGGUCAUGUUGCAGAGUGGCAGGCUUUUUUCAAUCACCAAGGGGCUUGUGGCUAAACUUUCUGACAUGAGGUAGGCCUGGGGGGUUGAGAAUGAUGGGGCAGAGCAGGGUUUGCUCACUUGCUGGCCAGGCUACAUGACCCCAGCUAGUCAUAAAAGUUUAAGACUGGGGAUAAUCACUCAGUUCAAAGACCCAGGUCAUUAACUAGUAAAAGAAGGGACCCAGUCAGUGAAACAUGAGCUUGGCCUGGAGUUAUCAGGACAGCAGCAGGAUAGUAUCUUGAGCUCUCACCAGAAAGAAUGGAUGGUGGACAAUCUGACUGACCCCAGCUAAGAUAGUGGGUGGCGACACGGGCUGUUGAAGAUCUUGAAAACUCACCACACUGAGAAGGAUCCUACUUAAUGAGGUUUGCACGGCAUUGUCUUUAGCAACUUCCCAAACUGCAGAAUUGAAGAACAACGAAGCUUUUCUUUCUGGAUGCUUCUUUUAAGUCAUCUCACAAAAGCACUUGCAGCCCUCAUUCAUGUGGACGAAUGCAAGGUGAAGGCUUGGUUUAAAAAUAAGAGAGCUAAAUACAGGAAAAAACAUAAGGAAUUACUACUCAGCAGUGCUACAUCUGGUACCUUGAACAACUUUUCUGCUCAGAUGAAUGAAGACCCCAAGAGUAGUACCUCUGUUCCGGAGGAGCCAAUAGGGUUCAUCGUGUGCCAGCAACAUCUUGGCAAAUCCUGCUGGUCAUAAAAAUAUUGUUUUGUCACAUAUAAUAGCAAUAAAGAAAGGAAGAUGUUUCUCAAAA